UACGGGGGGAGCAAGCGUUGUUCGGAUUUACUGGGCGUAAAGGGCGCGUAGGCGGCCAGCACAAGUCAGUUGUGAAAUCUCCGGGCUUAACUCGGAAAGGUCAACUGAUACUGUGCGGCUAGAGUGCAGAAGGGGCAACUGGAAUUCUCGGUGUAGCGGUGAAAUGCGUAGAUAUCGGGAGGAACACCAGUGGCGAAGGCGGAGACCUGGGCCAAUACUGACGCUGAGGUGCGAAAGCGUGGGGAGCAAACAGG
rnacentral:rRNA from 1 species